CCUACGGGAGGCAGCAGUGAGGAAUAUUGGUCAAUGGCCGGAAGGCUGAACCAGCCAUGCCGCGUGAAGGUCAGUGCCCUAUGGGCGUUAAACUUCUUUUGUGCGGGAGCAAUAAUGGUCACGUGUGGCCAGACGAGAGUACCGUACGAAUAAGCAUCGGCUAAAUCCGUGCCAGCAGCCGCGGUAAUACGUAGGUGGCAAGCGUUGUCCGGAUUUACUGGGUGUAAAGGGCGUGCAGCCGGGAAGACAAGUCAGAUGUGAAAUCCCGCGGGUCAACCGCGGAACUGCAGUUGAAACUGUUUGUCUUGAGUACCGGAGAGGUCAGCGGAAUGCGUUGUGUAGCGGUGAAAUGCGUAGAUAUAAGGAAGAACACCAGUGGCGAAGGCAGAUGACUGGACGGCAACUGACGGUGAGGCGCGAAAGCGUGGGGAGCAAACAGGAUUAGAUACCCCUGUAGUC
rnacentral:rRNA from 1 species